rnacentral:rRNA from 1 species
GAUGAACGCUGGCGGCGUGCCUAAUACAUGCAAGUCGAGCGAACAGACGAUGAGCUUGCUCCUCUGACGUUAGCGGCGGACGGGUGAGUAACACGUGGAUAACCUACCUAUAAGUCUGGGAUAACUUCGGGAAACCGGAUCUAAUACCGGAUCAUAUAUUGAACCGCAUGGUUCAAUAGUGAAAGACGGUUUUGCUGUCACUUAUAGAUGGAUCCGCGCCGCAUUAGCUAGUUGGUAAGGUAACGGCUUACCAAGGCAACGAUGCGUAGCCGACCUGAGAGGGUGAUCGGCCACACUGGAACUGAGACACGGUCCAGACUCCUACGGGAGGCAGCAGUAGGGAAUCUUCCGCAAUGGGCGAAAGCCUGACGGAGCAACGCCGCGUGAGUGAUGAAGGUCUUCGGAUCGUAAAACUCUGUUAUUAGGGAAGAACAACUGUGUAAGUAACUAUGCACGUCUUGACGGUACCUAAUCAGAAAGCCACGGCUAACUACGUG